AUUGAACGCUGGCGGCAGGCCUAACACAUGCAAGUCGAACGAGUGGCGGACGGGUGAGUAAGGUCUGGGAAACUGGCUGAUGGAGGGGGAGAACGACUGGAAACGGUAGCUAAUAACGCAUAACAUCAGAUGUGGCAAGAUUGGGUUAGCUUGUUGGGGGGGUAACGGCUCACCAAGGAGACGAUCCCUAGCAGGUCUGAGAGGAAGACCAUCUACACUGGCACUGAGACACGUGCCAGACUCCUACUGGAGGCAGCAGUGGGGAAUAUUUCACAAUGUGCGCCAGCCUGAUGCAGCCAUGCCGCGUGUAUGAAGAAGGCCUUCGGGUUGUAAAGUACUUUCAGCGGAGAGGCGUUACCCGCAGAAGAAGCACCGGCUAACUCCGUGCCAGCAGCCGCGGUAAUAC
rnacentral:rRNA from 1 species